CCUCGCCAUAUAUUGCAAACAUUUUCUGGGUUUUACUCGCGGGAUUCGUCAUGCCAUCUCGAUGUGUAGCGAUAUGAAUUACUCACAGGAAGACUCGAGACUCUAGGAGUGGUCCAAAAAAAAACUUCUCCUGCAAAGCCACGACAGCUUUGAAAACCUACAACAAUGCAACCUUGGUUUUCCAAAGACGAAGCCAAACAUAAAAAAUUAAGUGGCGGAAACCCUCAACACGAUGAAAAAAGCGUUGCAAGUCAGUUGCCACCCAGUUUCCCAAAAUCAAGAGAGAGUGGGUCGAGUCAUAUGAUGACCGAAGUGAUGCGGUGUCCAGCGAUGACGACUGAAGAGAUCCUAUGAGGCCUGCCAGAUGCUGAAUUUCUUCCGUCUGCGACAUCAGAUGACGAUGAUUUAGGAGAAAUAAAUGUAGCAAAUUUUGAUGACAUGAAAUCAUAAACUAGUCAUAUAUACAGUACACAUUUUUUAAAAGAAAAAUCAAGUUACCUUCAUAUUUUAAUGAUAAUGCAUUAUCUGUGUAUAGAGAACACUUCAUGCUACAGAAAAGAGUAAAUACAUAUUUCCCACUGCCAUUAUCAUUUUUCAAUGUUGCGCUAGUCCGUUGCUAUCCUAACUUUGUGUUGCUUACUAAAAUUAUGCUCUUUGAUGUGUGCCGUUGUGUGCUUGGUAUAACAUGUUGUGUCACAAUCUGACAACGAAAGCUAAUGCUGAUUCAACAUAAACCUGGUAUCAUUAUUGCGGCCUAUUGAAUAUUUUUUCAGAAUGUAUUAUAAUUACA